UGUGGAGCCGUCCUUGAAAUACCACCCUUGUAGUGUUGAUGUUCUAACGUCGACCCCUUAUCGGGGUUGCGGACAGUGCCUGGUGGGUAGUUUGACUGGGGCGGUCUCCUCCCAAAGAGUAACGGAGGAGCACGAAGGUGGGCUAAUCACGGUUGGACAUCGUGAGGUUAGUGCAAUGGCAUAAGCCCGCUUGACUGCGAGAAUGACAAUUCGAGCAGGUGCGAAAGCAGGUCAUAGUGAUCCGGUGGUUCUGAAUGGAAGGGCCAUCGCUCAACGGAUAAAAGGUACUCCGGGGAUAACAGGCUGAUACCGCCCAAGAGUUCAUAUCGACGGCGGUGUUUGGCACCUCGAUGUCGGCUCAUCACAUCCUGGGGCUGAAGUCGGUCCCAAGGGUAUGGCUGUUCGCCAUUUAAAGUGGUACGCGAGCUGGGUUUAGAACGUCGUGAGACAGUUCGGUCCCUAUCUGCCGUGGGCGUUGGAAGAUUGAAGGGGGCUGCUCCUAGUACGAGAGGACCGGAGUGGACGAACCUCUGGUGUUCGGGUUGUGUCGCCAGACGCAUUGCCCGGUAGCUAAGUUCGGAAUCGAUAACCGCUGAAAGCAUCUAAGCGGGAAGCGAGCCCUGAGAUGAGUCUUCCCUGAUACUUUAAGUAU
rnacentral:rRNA from 1 species